rnacentral:rRNA from 1 species
UACGUAGGGGGCUAGCGUUGUCCGGAUUUAUUGGGCGUAAAGCGCGUGUAGGCGGCCAGAUAGGUCUGCUGUGAAAACUCGAGGCUCAACCUCGAGCUGUCGGCGGAAACCAUCCGGCUAGAGUCCGGAAGAGGAGAGUGGAAUUCCCGGUGUAGCGGUGAAAUGCGCAGAUAUCGGGAAGAACACCCGUGGCUAAGGCGGCUCUCUAGUACGGUACUGACGCUGAGACGCGAAAGCGUGGGGAGCGAACAGG